GACGAACGCUGGCGGCGUGCUUAACACAUGCAAGUCGAACGGUGAACCUCUUCGGAUGGGAUCAGUGGCGAACGGGUGAGUAACACGUGGGCAACCUGCCCCCGCCCCUGGGAUAACUCCAAGAAAUUGGGGCUAAUACCGGAAGUUCACCGCUUCCCGCAUGGGUGGUGGUGGAAAGGGUUUCCGGUUGGGGAUGGGCCCGCGCCCUAUCAUCUUGUUGGUGGGGUAGUGGCGUACCAAGGCGACGACGGGGAGCGGGCCUGGGAGGGUGACGGGCCCCACUGGAACUGGGGAGCGGCCCGGACUCAACCGGGCGGAAGCGGUGGGGAAUAUUGCGAAUGGGGCGGAGGCCUGCCGCAGCGACGCCGCGUGGGGGAUGACGGCCUUCGGGUUGUAAACCUCUUUCAGCAGGGACGAAGCGCAAGUGCGGUAACCUGCAGAAGAAGCCCCGGCAACCUACGU
rnacentral:rRNA from 1 species